UAACAACAGUAAAAGUCAGCUGC
rnacentral:siRNA from 1 species